AUUGAACGCUGGCGGCAGGCCUAACACAUGCAAGUCGAGCGGUAGAGAGGUGCUUGCAUCUCUUGAGAGCGGCGGACGGGUGAGUAAUGCCUAGGAAUCUGCCUAGUGGUGGGGGAUAACGUUCGGAAACGGACGCUAAUACCGCAUACGUCCUACGGGAGAAAGCGGGGGAUCUUCGGACCUCGCGCCAUUAGAUGAGCCUAGGUCGGAUUAGCUAGUUGGUGAGGUAAUGGCUCACCAAGGCGACGAUCCGUAACUGGUCUGAGAGGAUGAUCAGUCACACUGGAACUGAGACACGGUCCAGACUCCUACGGGAGGCAGCAGUGGGGAAUAUUGGACAAUGGGCGAAAGCCUGAUCCAGCCAUGCCGCGUGUGUGAAGAAGGUCUUCGGAUUGUAAAGCACUUUAAGUUGGGAGGAAGGGUAGGUAACCUAAUACGUUGCUACUUUGA
rnacentral:rRNA from 1 species